AGGACAUGCCUUACCUGAGGCCCGCGGUGGCGCUCGUGCUCGCCUUCGUCGGCGUGAAAAUGGUGCUCGAGUUCUUUCACUUCGGCAUUCCCAUCGCCGUUAGCCUCGGCAUCGUCUUCCUUCUCUUGUC
rnacentral:ribozyme from 1 species